rnacentral:rRNA from 1 species
AUAGCUGGGUAGCUAUGUGCGGAAGGGAUAAGUGCUGAAAGCAUCUAAGCAUGAAGCCCCCCUCAAGAUGAGAUUUCCCAUAGCGUAAGCUAGUAAGAUCCCUGAAAGAUGAUCAGGUUGAUAGGUUCGAGGUGGAAGCAUGGUGACAUGUGGAGCUGACGAAUACUAAUAGAUCGAGGACUUAACCAU